rnacentral:rRNA from 1 species
AUUGAACGCUGGCGGCAUGCCUUACACAUGCAAGUCGAACGGUAACAGGUCUUCGGAUGCUGACGAGUGGCGAACGGGUGAGUAAUACAUCGGAACGUGCCCGAUCGUGGGGGAUAACGGAGCGAAAGCUUUGCUAAUACCGCAUACGAUCUACGGAUGAAAGCAGGGGACCGCAAGGCCUUGCGCGGACGGAGCGGCCGAUGGCAGAUUAGGGAGUUGGUGGGAUAAAAGCUUACCAAGCCGACGAUCUGGAGCUGGUGUGAGAGGCCGACCAGCCACACUGGGACUGAGACACGGCCCAGACUCCUACGGGAGGCAGCAGUGGGGAAUUUUGGACAAUGGGCGAAAGCCUGAUCCAGCCAUGCCGCGUGCAGGAUGAAGGCCUUCGGGUUGUAAACUGCUUUUGUACGGAACGAAAAGCCUCUUUCUAAUAAAGAGAGGUCAUGACGGUACCGUAAGAAUAAGCACCGGCUAACUACGUGCCAGCAGCCGCCGUAAAAC